AAGCAUCAUAUAAGCUCUGAGUGAAGUUCAGAGGAUGUGAAUUCAGAAGUUCACAAGCGCUCAGAAGAUGUUGGACUUCAGAAGUUACAACCUUCAGAGGAUGAAGUCUUCAGAACUUCUUGUCUGUCUACAAGCUUCAUCAAACUCUGAAGAUCUUUUUGAAAGCUGUGAAGAUUCUCUUUACAAGUCAACUCUUCUACCAAUGAAGAAAAGGACCUCUCAAGUCUGAUCAGUUCAGCUACCUCUGUUCUGUCUGUCCUAACUUGAGAAC
rnacentral:lncRNA from 1 species